rnacentral:rRNA from 1 species
CACGCCGUAAACGUUGGGCGCUAGGUGUGGGACUCUUUUCACGAGUUCUGUGCCGCAGCUAACGCAUUAAGCGCCCCGCCUGGGGAGUACGGCCGCAAGGCUAAAACUCAAAGGAAUUGACGGGGGCCCGCACAAGCGGCGGAGCAUGUGGAUUAAUUCGAUGCAACGCGAAGAACCUUACCAAGGCUUGACAUAUACCGGAAACACGCAGAGAUGCGUGCCCCGCAAGGUCGGUAUACAGGUGG